rnacentral:tRNA from 1 species
CGGGAUGUGGCGCAGUUGGUAGCGCACUUCGUUCGGGACGAAGGGGUCGCGUGUUCGAGUCACGUCAUCCCGA